AAAAAAUAUUAAAUUCAGAUUAUAAUUGUGUGGAAAAUAUUUCUGGGACUGAAUAGAAGGAAUGAAGUAUUAUACAGAUUGCAAAUUGCGUGAUCAUAGAGUGAGAGCAUUACACAAGUGUCCCGGCAUCUAAGGUGAGUUUAGCUUCUUUUGUUUAUGUUGUUUGAAUAUUAAAUUGAUAUUAACACCAUUCAUAUAUUAUGCUAUAUAA